GAAAUGCGAUAAUUAAUGUGAAUUGCAGAAUUCAGUGAAUCAUCGAGUCUUUGAACGCACAUUGCGCCCCCCUGGUAUUCCGGGGGGCAUGCCUGUCCGAGCGUCAUUGCUGCCCUCAAGCACGGCUUGUGUGUUGGGCUUCCGUCCCUGGCAACGGGGACGGGCCCAAAAGGCAGUGGCGGCACCAUGUCUGGUCCUCGAGCGUAUGGGGCUUUGUCACCCGCUCCCGUAGGUCCAGCUGGCAGCUAGCCUCGCAACCAAUCUUUUUAACCAGGUUGACCUCGGAUCAGGUAGGGAUACCCGCUGAACUUAAGC
rnacentral:misc_RNA from 1 species